rnacentral:rRNA from 1 species
AACAGGAUUAGAUACCCUGGUAGUCCACGCCGUAAACGAUGUCGAUUUGGAGGCUGUGUCCUUGAGACGUGGCUUCCGGAGCUAACGCGUUAAAUCGACCGCCUGGGGAGUACGGCCGCAAGGUUAAAACUCAAAUGAAUUGACGGGGGCCCGCACAAGCGGUGGAGCAUGUGGUUUAAUUCGAUGCAACGCGAAGAACCUUACCUACUCUUGACAUCCACGGAAUUCGCCAGAGAUGGCUUAGUGCCUUCGGGAACCGUGAGACAGGUGCUGCAUGGCUGUCGUCAGCUCGUGUUGUGAAAUGUUGGGUUAAGUCCCGCAACGAGCGCAACCCUUAUCCUUUGUUGCCAGCACGUAAUGGUGGGAACUCAAAGGAGACUGCCGGUGAUAAACCGGAGGAAGGUGGGGAUGACGUCAAGUCAUCAUGGCCCUUACGAGUAGGGCUACACACGUGCUACAAUGGCAUAUACAAAGAGAAGCGAACUCGCGAGAGCAAGCGGACCUCAUAAAGUAUGUCGUAGUCCGGAUUGGAGUCUGCAACUCGACUCCAUGAAGUCGGAAUCGCUAGUAAUCGUAGAUCAGAAUGCUACGGUGAAUACGUUCCCGGGCCUUGUACACACCGCCCGUCACACCAUGGGAGUGGGUUGCAAAAGAAGUAGGUAGCUUAACCUUCGGGAGGGCGCUUACCACUUUGUGAUUCAUGACUGGGGUGAAGUCGUAACAAGGUAACC